CAGUGUCCUCAGGGUGAUGGUGGUGGCCUCGGUGGCCCCACGCUCACUCUGUCCCUAGGGAGUGGUGUCCCCGGUGUCCCCAGGGUGAUGGUGAUGACCGUGGUGGCCCCACACUCACCCUGUCCCCAGGGUGAUGGUGACGACCCCGGUGGCCCCGCACUCGCCCUGCCUCCAGGAGGGUGGCGUCCCCGGGGCGACGGUGGUGGCCUCGGUGGCCCCGCGCUCACCCUGUCCCCGCAGUGGUGUUCGGGGAACACUCCCUGCUCGUCACCGUCUCCGGGCAGAAGCUCUUCGUGGUGAAGCGCCAGAACCACGUCCAGGAGCCCGUCGCCGUGUGAGCCGCCCCGGAGGCCGGCCCGCGUCCCCGCUGUCCCCAGGGCAAGGGGGACGGUCCCCCUCCCCGCUGCCGUCCCCAGGGCUUCGGGGGAUCUGUCCCCUGCGUCCCCAAGGCCCUGCGGUGACACCUACCCGGGUCGCUGCCGUCCCCAAGACCUUCCCAGGUGGACGGUCCCCCACAUCUCUGCUGUCCCCAGGGCCCUGUGGUGUCCCCCGACCAUGUCCCUGCUGUCCCCAAGGCGCUGCGGUGUCCGGCGUCCCCUGUCCCCUGCACGUCCCAGGGCCCUGCGGCGUCACUCUCCAACCGUUGUCCCUCCCUUGAGACAAUAAAUUGUGUCCUGGUCCCGUCCCCGUCCCCCGU
ensembl:lncRNA